GAGAAAUGAUAUUGAAGGUGAUAGAGUUCUGUGAAGCGGUACAAAAGAAUCAAGGUGUUUUAAUACCACUAAACAAUGUUUAGAAGAGAGUAGCCGCCAUAACAAGUGUGUCAGAGAGUACUGUAACAAGAAUUACAAAAGAAGGUAUAACAGCGGCGAGUACUUCGAAGAAAAUUGUCACCCCGGGGAAGAGUCGCCCGCAUCCGAAAUAGUAUCAAUAUAAAAAGAACAAUUAUAUCUACGGCUGGUGAUACUGAAACAGAAUCAGAUUCUGUUCCCAUCCACUCUUCAGACAGUGAUGUUCCUAUGGCCCCUGAUCACAAUUAUUCAAUAAAACUCUGAAUAAAAA